rnacentral:lncRNA from 1 species
CUGAAAGAAGAUGGGUGCUGCAAGAGGCCAGGAACCCUUGAGGGCUUCUGGGGAAGGUACUCAUCUACCACCGUUUUGACAGCUCUCUGGAUGUAACUCUUCAUCAAACAUCCCACAAGCCAUUCCACAUAGUCACCAACAUCCCAGAGACAGACCUGGACCGACUACAGAUUUGAGAGCCAAGUGCUUUACUGACGAGUC